rnacentral:rRNA from 1 species
GUGUCAGCCGCCGCGGUAAGACAGAGGGGGCAAGCGUUGCUCGGAAUCACUGGGCGUAAAGGGCGCGUAGGCGGGAUGGCAAGUCGGUCGUGAAAUCCUUCGGCUCAACCGAAGAACGUCGGCCGAUACUGCCGUUCUUGAGGGAUGCAGAGGAGAUUGGAAUUCCCGGUGUAGCGGUGAAAUGUGUAGAGAUCGGGAGGAACACCGGUGGCGAAGGCGGGUCUCUGGGCAUCUCCUGACGCUGAGGCGCGAAAGCGUGGGGAGCAAACGGGAUUAGAAACCCCCGUAGUCC